UGUGCGAAAAGAUCGCUAUUUGACAUUUAUAAUCAUAUUUAUUUUAAAUGUGUAUACAUAUAAAAUAUUGGUCAAUGGAUCUAAUACUACCUAAUGUAGACAGACAUCUAACUACCGUGCUGUUCUGUUCCAAUAUGUCCUGCAAAUGUUGAGUGGAAUUAUCAAUAGAGUCUGUGCGGCAGUGUGAUAAUGGAACACGCCAACGUGCAUGACAUAUGCGUCUUACAAAGAUUCGGACCGACUAUAGUAGGCCUGGCUGUUCUGAUAUAUACAUAUAUGAGAGAGUAAUGAAUUCAAACUAUAUGUUCAAAGUAGUAUGUUAAACAACCAGCCAAACAUCGAGCAGUAAAUAUCAUGUUAACUAGCUAGCCCAGUGGAAGAGAACUCGCCUGGAGUGCGAUGGGUUGCAGGAUCGACCGUCCUCGAUGGGCUCAGGUGUUUCCCAUUCCAACCAGUACUCCACCACCUCUGGGACCAAUUUGACCAUACAAACCGCAGUUCGUAUUGCCCCUAACAGUACAAGUAAUAUGAAACUGUCUGCAUGAAAACGAUUGCAAACACAUGCAAACGUAUAACUGCUAGUCGCAAACGUAAACAUAUUUUGUGAAAUUGGUUAAAGAAAUUAUCAUCUUGUCUAUGAGAAAGUACAUAUAAAAGAGUCCUCGCUGCUUUAUCAGUAGGAUUAGCCUAUGUGACGGAAGCGCUCUCUCUCUCUCUCUCUCUCUCUCUCUCUCUCUCUCUCUCUCUCUCUCUCUCUCUCUCUCUCUCUCUCUCUCUCUCUCUCUCUCUCUCUCU